rnacentral:rRNA from 1 species
UUAAAUUGAAGAGUUUGAUCAUGGCUCAGAUUGAACGCUGGCGGCAGGCCUAACACAUGCAAGUCGAACGGUAACAGGAAGCAGCUUGCUGCUUCGCUGACGAGUGGCGGACGGGUGAGUAAUGUCUGGGAAGCUGCCUGAUGGAGGGGGAUAA